rnacentral:rRNA from 1 species
GACGAACGCUGGCGGCGUGCUUAAUACAUGCAAGUCGAACGGAAAGGCCUCUUUCGUGGGGUACUCGAGUGGCGAACGGGUGAGUAACACGUGAGUAACCUGCCUUUGAUUUUGGGAUAACUUCAGGAAACUGGGGCUAAUACCGGACAGGAGCUACUGCUGCACGGAGGGGGUUGGAAAGUUUCGGCCGUUGGGGAUUGACUCGCGGCUUAUCAGGUUGUAUGUGGGGUAUUGGGUGACCAAGGCUUUGACGGGUAGGCGGCCUGAGAGGGUGACCGGCCCCCUUGAGCCUGCGAGACGGCCCAGACUCCUACGGUCGGCAACGGUGGGAAAUAUUGCCCAAUGGGUGGGCGCCUGAUGAAGCGACGCCGGGUGCGUGAUGACGGGCUUCGGGUUGUAAACCGCUUUCGCUCAUGACGAAGCUUUGUGUGACGGUAGUGAGUAAAGAAGCACCGGCUAACUACGUG